GACCGUGGGCUCGCUCCCGCGGUGCGCCCCUCCCGUCCGCGCGAGCGCGACCCUGCCCGCCCAGCGCCCACACCCUGCCUCGCGACCUCCGCCGCCGCCGGCGCCCUCCGCCUCUUUCCGCCUCCGCACGCCGCCUCUACCUGCCCGCGCGCCCCUGCCUUUCGCGACCUCCUCCUCCUACUCCGCCCUCCAGCCCCAUGCCGACCACACCCGCCGCCGCCACCCCUGCGCCGCCUCUCCCCGCUCCCGCUCCACGCUUCCCCCAGGCGCGGACCGCGGCUCUGCCGGGUCCAGAUCCGGGCCGCAGCCCUCCCUCGUCGCCUCCCGCGGUGCCGGUCCGCACCCGCCCCUGCCACACCCGGCCUCUCAGCCGCGCCGCCGGCUGUGGGUGGGCUCGCACCCGCCAUCGUCACACCCGGUCUCCGAGCGCUCCAACCACCCCCGCGCUUCAUGCCUCUACGGCCUCCAAGAUCUGCAUGCCUCCGGCCUCCCCCUCGCUCGACCUCCGAUCGCGUCCGGCCUCCCCCGCUGCCGUCGCCGCGGUGGGGGACGGCUGGUGGGUCCACGACGGCUUGACGCUGGUUUCCCCACUCAAGAUCAGGGAGAGCCGGUUUUGGAACCUGAAAAGCCCUUUAUAGAAUUUUUGCAUAAAAUUACAGAGAAGAUUGAGCUAAGCCUUUGACUGCUUGAGCCUUGCAAUAUGGCCUUGCACAUAGAUGUUUGUCCGGAGCUAAGCCUUUGGCUGAUUGAGCCUUGCAAUACGGCCUUGGACAUAGCUCUUUGGCCUAUUGUGUUUGCAGGACAAAUCAUAUAUUUAGUUCAUGGCUUCCAUUUCUUUGUGAAGAAUUUUGGAAAGGACAAGAAUAAAGAACUUGGCGAAGAUAGUGGGAAAUUGUUGAAACCACUAAGCAUUGAAUUUUGAAAACGAGAAGCACCUAGCAGAGAAUGGGAGAUUGCUUCAAUUACAGAUUGCAGACUUCCAUAUGGAGUACAGGGAGGUGGUUCUUCAAUUGCAAAAAGGAGAAGUGGCAUCCUUUUGGAUGGAAGCUGUGGCCUCUUCUCUCUGAAGUUUUAGAUCGCCAAGAUAUUAGCUGUAUUUUCAAGCUGAUUAAUAUCAAUAGCCAAGGGAAUUGGUAUGCACACUGCCUUGCUAUAUGCAGGCAAAGACUAUUUUAUCAGUUCUGUUAUUUUCUCUUGCUCUUCAUAGGAUCACUAAUCCAAUUGUACAAUUUUCACAGUUAUGUUAUUUUCUCUUGUUCUUCAGAGGAUCACCAAUCUAAUUGUAUUAUUUUAUCAGCUCUACUGAAUGUAACUUGGGGUCAGUUUGACCUCAUUGAUGUAUACUGUGCUGAAUAAAUGAAGUUGGUUAAGAAAA